UAAGGUAACGUUUCCCUCUGAUUUUGUAGA
rnacentral:piRNA from 1 species